AAGUGCAAAAGGAGAACAGAGAGAAAGAAGUUCAUGACAGAGAUAUUUUUCACUCUAGGUGAGUGUGUUAGGGAAAAACUUUACCGUUAUUGUUCAUUGAGAAUAUUGUGUGCUGUGUAUUUAAAGAGAAGCUGAAAAUUAUAAAAUCAUACUCUCCUCCCAUUUAAAGAAUAAUAAUAAAAAAUAGUUCAGCUGCAGAAAUAUUAGCACGGAUGAGGUACUGGGUAUUAGCAGCAUAAUCCUGCACUGAAGCAGAGAAGGAGCAUGGUUUACUGUCCUGCUUUUGCUUGACUGGUCAACUGGUGAAUUCAGAGUGAGCAGAUUGACUCACACAUAAGGACCAAAAGAGAUAAAAAUAAAGGGUAGAGCCCCGUUGUCCUAAAGGAGGUCUCCACCCUCACUCUGGAGGGAAAGAGAGGGUCCAGGGGAAGAAUCUGGCAGGCAUGAAAGCGGUAUGAUGACACACAUGAAAAAAUUGCCUUGAACAGGAGGCCAUCCUUAUUGCACCAACCUGUACUGCUGCACUCUCUCCUCUGGUUUUAUUCAUGAGGAAGCUGCUGUGUAAGUAUCAAGAGAAAGGUGCCUGUCCUGAGAUGCAACGCUGGAACCCAUCUUGAAUGUAGCUCUGGGCUUGUCUUGCAGCCUUUCUGUGCUAAACCCAAUGAGUCUCCUAUGAUCAUGAGUGAGACCCUGUGGGGCCCAGCUGCUGCCCACUUGGCAGGGCUCCAUCAUCUGUCUCAGCAUCCCAGGGUAGAAGAUCUAGGGGAAGUGACUACCAUGCUUCACAUAUGAGGUGAUGUCCUGUGCUCACAGGACGUGAUGACCAUCUGAGUCUUCCCUGUCACAUAAGUAAAUACACUUGAUGUCUAUGGGGAAGAAGAGGAGCCGAGGAUGAAGUCAUGCAUCUUGGAAAGCAAGGCUUCCUAUGACUGACAGCUUAUUAUCUCACCUUAUGAAAAUCAUGCAUAGCUUCUAGGAGUCAUCUAUCAGAAAGGGAGAGAACACACUGAGAAGCUGGUACCUUCUCUCUAAUAAUUUGGGUUGAACCUAUUAACUGCCUGAAGGGACUUGCAUCUUUGCAGGAAGCAAGAAAAACAUCUGGAGUUAGAUGAUCCCCAGUGGUCAGUGCUCAGGCUGAAAUUGGAGUUGCAGAUUAACAGCCUGAGUGCAAGAGGUUCCAUGUCCAAGGCUCUCAGCUUGAUUUGCCUCUUAUGAAAUCUUCCCUACCCAUUCUGAUUUUAUUGACAUCUGCCUUCAGUGCUGUCAGUCACGCAGCUGGAUCAAGUGGCAGAAGUUGGCACUGUGUUCUCUGAAGUACUGAUUUUUUGUAAAAUGUCAUACCUGGCAGUAGACUUUGAGACAUAUGUUACACUGCCCUCUACCUACGUGCAAAACUGCCACUCAGCUGAGGAAGGCAGUGACAAUUACAGUGUAUAUUAGCCCUUUAGACUGAGGCUGCUGCUCAGAAUUUAGCACGAAGAAUGGGAAAAAAAAUGUACCUUCAGAGAAACCUUCCGUAAGGCAUUGAUAACUGCCCUUAUAAUGGAUCAUUCUAUGUUGUCAAAAGAUCUGUACUGAUGAAAUUUUAGAACACAAAUUCCUUGUGAUCAUAAAUUAUGCAGAAUAAGGUAUGAAAUGAUUCCUGCUCAAAUCUGUUCACUGAAAAUGUAGCACAUUAUGCAGCUGUUUCGUGGUGGAAUGGGCAGACAGUGAGACCGUGAGUGGGAGAGGAAGGAAAAAAAAAAGCUUCACCUUAAGGAACAGUGACAGAAGCUCUUACUGACAUCUAAUGCAAAACCAGUAAGACUUCAGGUCCUACUAAAAUCCCCUCAUAUUCAUUAACGUUUGUCGAGGCCACUGUAGAUACCUCAUGGACCCUCUCAUAGGGCAACUAGAGAUGGUCAAAAAGUCAGGCCAAGCCUGGGGCAGGAAGGCAGAAAAGCCUUCCUGCUAUGCAGUUAUUUUUACUGACAAGAUUACAAUGCAAGUUCCUUUACUAUCACUUCAAGUCAUUGGAUUUCCUAAACAAUGAGAAUGAAUUACCAGUAACCAAUCCCAGCUAUGGUCAAUUUUUAUGAUAGACAUAAACUAAUAAAAACUGGGACAUCAUACUGGCAAUGUGGUGUUGGAAGACAGGGGAGCAAACUUUGCCUAUUUAUCAGAGUAAUGGUAAUGACUCAGAGAAGUCCAGGUUGUUAAAGCACUCCAAGUUACGUCCUGCAGGGAACCAAUGUGCAGUGUCAAUACGCUAUCUAGUGGCUGCAUCGAUUAUGACAUUAUUCCUGAAUUUAUGUAGUGCUCAAAAAUACUUUAGACUAAAUCAGGAUUUGUCAGUCUGUAACCAUUCCUAAGUGAAUCUAACAAAUUUUGAGGUUAUAGGUGAUUCAUAAAAAAAAAAAUAAUAAUAAAAAUGUAUUUAAGUUUACAUGAAUAUGAGGAUAAAACUGUUGUUGGGAAGUUCUUAGGCAGUCAUUCUUGACAUUACCAACAUUUUGACAGGCACUGGACAAGCAGUUCAGAUUUUUCUCCAUAUAUAGACUAUGUUCUAGAUCAACUAAUAAAAAACCCACUCAGUUACGAAGUGCUUCAAGACCAUGUCUAAGUAUUUUAUUUAUCUGCUAGAUUAA